CUUAGAAUGAUGAGGUCACAAGUGCUACCUGAAGCUCUGAGAAGCAAGAAAACUCCAUAGAGCCUUUGGUGGGAGCGUGGCUCUGUCAACACUUUCAUGUCAAACUUCUGGCCUCCAGAAGUGUGAGAAAAUGCAUCUGCUGUUAAAAGCACCUGCAUUAUCACAUGUGACCAGCAGGUGGAAGCAAAUGACUUUGCAAAAAUACCGAAAAGCCCAAGUAAUAGAGGCAAGGAUCUGAUUUGUGAGGAACCAGAUAUGCCAGAAGGACAUCCAACAGUCAGAGCAAGCUUUAUGCCAGUUAGAAAAGAUGAAGCGAUCUGAAGGUCAAGGCAGCUAGUACAAAUGAUGUGAAAAAAGACAGUAUAUUAAAGCUUCCUGUUGCCUAGACAGAGAGGAGCUUCUGAUUUCCAAGAGAUGGUUCCUGGUCUGACAGCAACACAAACAGAGUUCUGCUGGCUGCUGUGUGUGCCUUGAUUCUCCUUGGAAACUGGUAUUUGCAGGAGUCACUUGGACUGUAGCCAUCUUGUCAACCAGGGUUUCUUGAGAAGCUGUAUUUUCUGUCCCUGUGACCUUGGUGUGGCAUCGUGCUUUCUGCUAGGAAAUGGAUGGCAGCCCUUUGGACAAGACUGAAUCACCAAUUCUCCAUUCCAGGGAUGCAAACUUCAUGGUCUCCAACCUUAAGUAUCUAACAAGGUCUAAAUGCUCACCAUCAUUCACCCUGUCCAUGCUCAAACCAAACCAGUGGGGAGCUGAAGCAACAAGGGUAUCUCUUCUCUCAAUACUGGCUGUUCAUAAAACACCACAUGUAAAAUGUGUCCCACUGAAAAGCUAAACAUUAUCUAACAAACUUGUACUAUAAACCUGUGAUUCUACUCUUGUGUGCACACCUUCAUUCCUCAAAGAGCAUAAAGCUAACUAUUUCCUUUUGUUUCCAUUGGAAUAUUUCUAAA